GAUGAACGCUAGCGGGAGGCCUAAUAUAUGCAAGUCGAGCGGUCAGCAAUGAUAGCGGCAGACGGGUGCGUAACGCGUAUGAAACUUGCCCCACACAGGAGGAUAGCCUUGGGAAACUGAGAGUAACCCUCCAUAGUCUUGAGUUGCCGCAUGGUAGCUUAAGUAAACUUCGGUGGUGUGGGAUAGUCGUGCGUCCGAUUAGGUAGUUGGUAGUGUAAUGGACUACCAAGCCGACGAUCGGUAGCUGGUCUGAGAGGAUGAUCAGCCACACGGGCACUGAGACACGGGCCCGACUCCUACGGGAGGCAGCAGUAAGGAAUAUUGGACAAUGGACGGAAGUCUGAUCCAGCCAUCCCGCGUGGAGGAAUAAGG
rnacentral:rRNA from 1 species